rnacentral:misc_RNA from 1 species
GAUGAAGAACGCAGCGAAAUGCGAUAAGUAAUGCGAAUUGCAGAAUUCAGUGAGUCAUCGAAUCUUUGAACGCACAUUGCGCCCUGUGGUAUUCCGCAGGGCAUGCCUGUUCGAGCGUCAUUUCAACCCUCAAGCCUCGCUUGGUGUUGGGCCCUGCCCGCCGCGGCCGGCCCUAAAGAUAGUGGCGGCGCCGCCUGGCCCUCAGCGUAGUACAGCUCUCGCUCCAGGGUCCGGCGGCAGCCUGCCAGGACCCCCCAACUCUGUGGUUGACCUCGGAUCAGGUAGGGAUACCCGCUGAACUUAAGCAUAUCAAUAAGCGGAGGA